GAUGAACGCUGGCGGCGUGCCUAAUACAUGCAAGUCGAACGAAACUUCUUUAUCACCGAGUGCUUGCACUCACCGAUAAAGAGUUGAGUGGCGAACGGGUGAGUAACACGUGGGCAGCCUGCCCAAAAGAGGGGGAUAACACUUGGAAACAGGUGCUAAUACCGCAUAACCAUAGUUACCGCAUGGUAACUAUGUAAAAGGUGGCUAUACUACCGCUUUUGGAUGGGCCCGCGGCGCAUUAGCUAGUUGGUAGGGUAAAGGCUUACCAAGGCAAUGAUGCGUAGCCGAAUUGAGAGGUUGAUCGGCCACAUUGGGACUGAGACACGGCCCAAAUUCCUACGGGAGGCAGCAGUAGGGAAUCUUCCACAAUGGGCGAAAGCCUGAUGGAGCAACGCCGCGUGGGUGAAGAAGGUCUUCGGAUCGUAAAACCCUGUUGUUAGAGAAGAAAGUGCGUGAGAGUAACUGUUCACGUUUCGACGGUAUCUAACCAGAAAGCCACGGCUAACUACGUG
rnacentral:rRNA from 1 species